CCUACGGGGGACAGCAGUAGGGAAUCUUCCACAAUGGGCGAAAGCCUGAUGGAGCAACGCCGCGUGGGUGAAGAAGGUCUUCGGAUCGUAAAACCCUGUUGUUAGAGAAGAAAGUGCGUGAGAGUAACUGUUCACGUUUCGACGGUAUCUAACCAGAAAGCCACGGCUAACUACGUGCCAGCAGCCGCGGUAAUCCGUAGGUGGCAAGCGUUAUACGGAUUUAUUGGGCGUAAAGGGAACGCGGGCGGUCUUUUAAGUCUGAUGUGAAAGCCUUCGGCUUAACCGGAGUAGUGCAUUGGAAACUGGGAGACUUGAGUGCAGAAGAGGAGAGUGGAACUCCAUGUGUAGCGGUGAAAUGAGUAGAGAUAUGGAAGAACACCAGUGGCGAAAGCGGCUCUCUGGGCUGUAACUGACGCUGAGGUUCGAAAGCGUGGGUAGCAAACAGGAUUAGAUACCCUAGUAGUC
rnacentral:rRNA from 1 species